rnacentral:rRNA from 1 species
UACAGAGGGUGCAAGCGUUAAUCGGAGUUACUGGGCGUAAAGGGCGCGUAGGCGGUUGAUGAAGUUGGAUGUGAAAUCCCUGGGCUUAACCUAGGAACUGCAUUCAAUACUCGUCGACUGGAGUACUGUAGAGGGUAGUGGAAUUUCCGGUGUAGCGGUGAAAUGCGUAGAGAUCGGAAGGAACACCAGUGGCGAAGGCGGCUACCUGGACAGAUACUGACGCUGAGGCGCGAGAGCGUGGGGAGCAAACAGG